GAUACGUCUUCAGAGUUUGAUCCUGGCUCAGGAUGAACGCUAGCGAUAGGCUUAACACAUGCAAGUCAGGGGCAGCAUUAUUUUAGCUUGCUAAGAUAGAUGGCGACCGGCGGAUGGGUGCGUAACGCGUAGGUAACCUACCUCAUAGCGGGGGAUAACUAUUGGAAACGAUAGCUAAUACCGCAUGACAAUGGAGGACCCAUGUCUUUCAUUUAAAAGGUGCAACUGCAUCACUAUGAGAUGGACCUGCGUUGUAUUAGCUAGUUGGUGAGGUAACGGCUCACCAAGGCGACGAUACAUAGCCGACCUGAGAGGGUGAACGGCCACACUGGGACUGAGACACGGCCCAG
rnacentral:rRNA from 1 species